rnacentral:misc_RNA from 1 species
GAAAUGCGAUAAGUAAUGUGAAUUGCAGAAUUCAGUGAAUCAUCGAAUCUUUGAACGCACAUUGCGCCCCCUGGCAUUCCGGGGGGCAUGCCUGUUCGAGCGUCUCCGCGACGCCCUCACGCAAGUCGUGGUCAUGGCGGCGGUGGCAGGCCAACAGGCCGGCGGCCACCCCGCUGGAAUGCAUAGGCGGACGCCUGCAGCGAGCCCGAGCGUGAUAGGACGCAAAGUCGCUCACUCGCCAGGUUGCCAGUCCAGCCAUAGCCGAUCGGCCGGCAGGAAGGAAACGAAUGCACUCCUCGAAUCAGGUAGGGAUACCCGCUGAACUUAA